GCGACUCGGACCUGCGUCGCGAAACGUCGUUGCAUUAGCCGUCUCUGGUCUGACGGCUGCAACCACGAGGCACCGAAAGGAAUCGAGUACGCGGCGUAACACGGUAUUCGAAUCAGCAGCUUUUUGCAAACCUUCAACCAUCGAUCAAGUUGACUUGAUUUUAAACCGUGCCGGGACUUGACGACUGUUCUCAUUGUCUUGUCUGAAGCCGUGAUCAAUGGCGUCUCAAAAAGCCUGUAACGCUGCAAUUCGCCGACCGUGAAUAUCCGCGCAAAAAAUGAAAAACCAAUUUACAAUAUAUUGUGUACUGUAUAUA